rnacentral:tRNA from 1 species
AUCUUUCUAGUAUCAAAUUAGUACGAAUGACUUCCAAUUAUUCAGUCUUGGUUAAAUCCCAAGGAAAGAUA